rnacentral:ribozyme from 1 species
UUCCCAGCAACUCCUAUUCCUACCUCCUCGUGGUACUGGCCGGGGUACGGGUAACCUUAAGGAAGAUUGGGUAAGCGAUCCCGGGUGGGAACUUUGGUCGUAUGCUUACAGGGAAGG